UCUUCCGUAGUAUAGUGGUCAGUAUGUGAGCUUGUCAAUAUCUUCCUAAGGUAAUGGCAUCGCUCAAGACCCGGGUUCAAUUUCUGGCAGGAGAG